rnacentral:rRNA from 1 species
GAUGAACGCUGGCGGCGUGCUUAACACAUGCAAGUCGAACGAUGAAGCCCAGCUUGCUGGGUGGAUUAGUGGCGAACGGGUGAGUAACACGUGAGUAACCUGCCCUUGACUCUGGGAUAAGCCCGGGAAACUGGGUCUAAUACCGGAUAGGAGCGCCUGUCGCAUGACGGGUGUUGGAAAGAUUUUUCGGUCAUGGAUGGACUCGCGGCCUAUCAGCUUGUUGGUGAGGUAAUGGCUCACCAAGGCGACGACGGGUAGCCGGCCUGAGAGGGUGACCGGCCACACUGGGACUGAGACACGGCCCAGACUCCUACGGGAGGCAGCAGUGGGGAAUAUUGCACAAUGGGCGGAAGCCUGAUGCAGCGACGCCGCGUGAGGGAUGACGGCCUUCGGGUUGUAAACCUCUUUCAGUAGGGAAGAAAGCGAAAAGGGACGG